CCCUAUGGGGUGCCGCAGGCUCACGAUGACAAGGGCCAUGGUCGAUCGGAUGCCGCUGCAUUCCGGCGCCACUUCGAGGUCGAUGAAAGGAAGCAUCAGGACAAACCCGUCCAAUGAAACGGAUAUCCCGGCGGUUCUGAAAAUCCAGUAGGCCGCAUCCAGCGAGCCCCGUUGCAGGAAAGCGGUCAGCGCAUCGAGUACCGGGGCCGGAAGCGGAACCAUGAGAACGAGGAACAAUACGGGGGUCAGAGCGUUCCGAAACGUAUUCACACCGUAGAAAAAAACCAGCGUUCCGGUGAUGAACCCCACGGCGGAGAGGGUUGACAAAACCAGACCCUCAUGCGCGUUCGCGUUCCAUUCAGGCAUGCGGCACCACACAUGGAGGGC
rnacentral:rRNA from 1 species